AUGAUGGGUUGCCAGGACCGGUGGUUAGUAAACUGGCGAGGGCCAGUUGGAGCGCCGGAGCGUUGGAGCGCCGGAGCGUUGGAGCGCCGGAACGUUGGAGCGGCGGAGCUUUGGAGCGCAGGAGCGUUGGAGCGUUGGAGCGCCGGCGCGUUGGAGCGCCAGAGCGUUGGAGCGCCAGAGCGUUGGAGCGCCAGAACGUUGGAGCGCCAGAGCGUUGGAGUACCGGAACGUUGGAGCGCCAGAGCGUUGGAGCGUUGGAGCGCUGGAGCGUUGGAGCGACGGAGUGUUGGAGCGCCGGAGCGUUGGAGCGCCAGAGCGUUGGAGCGCCGGAGCAUUGGAGCGCCAGAACGUUGGAGCGCCGGAGCGCCGGAGCGUUGGAGCGUUGAAGCGCCAGAGCGUUGGAGUGCCGGAACGUUGGAGCGCCGGAGCGUUGGAGCGCCGGAGCGUUGGAGCGCCAGAGCGUUGGAGCGCCGGAGCAUUGGAGCGCCAGAACGUUGGAGCGCCAGAGCGUUGGAGCGGGGGUAGAAGUAGCAGUACGCUACCAAUACACUUUGAUUUGAUUUGAUUUAUGCUGUGGUGUCUGGCUAUGAACAUAGGAAUUAAACCCACUGCAAUAUGACUGUUCUCCCACAUCAGUCAGGCAGCGUAUUGUAUCUGGACGGCCACAACGCUCAUCAUAAUCACUCAUCCUUAGACAUAUCAAUAGAGCCAUUUAGAUGAAACUGGAAACAUAGAAAUCUGAAGGGUUCCUCAAGCCGUGAGUUUGGAAAGAGAGAGAAUAGAAUGAAUAGAGCACUCUGUUGUUUCUGUGACUUGGCUUUGCCAAGCAGCUCAUACCGAAUGUCCACUUUAUGGUUCGGCUGUAACUGCUGUCUUCCUGUCCAAGACAUCCCAGUCUGGCUCUGGUCUGGCUCUGCGGGCCACUGAUUGACUUGAAGCAUGGGGGUUGCAAAGCUUUAAGUUGGAACUCGAAGCCCUUGAGGGUUGUUGGAUGUGAACAGAGCUCAUUUUGUUGUGGGUUCUACCCCAUAAAGGCUGCAAUUUGUGAGGUAAGGUCCAACCAAUGGAAAAAUAUAUUUAAUACCCCAAUCCAUGCACUGCAUUUAAUGGUGUACUGGGUUAUUACUGUACAGUGGAUUAAUCAAGCUCAAGUGGAUCAUUAGUAUCCGUGUCCUACAGAGAAAAAUCACCAUAUUAUUCUUAUGAUUUUUUACUUUGUUGCUUCCUUUGGUGUCCAGAAACAGAGAACUAGCUGUAGAUGUUCUCUGCGCCAGAUGUUUUUGUUUCAGUUUUUGGAAUGUAAAACCACAGCACUUUACAUUCAUUUGAUUUGCGCAACAAGCGCAACUGUAUAGUUUCCCACAGAAUUGCAGCUUCUUUCACCAUGUAUACCGUCAAACCAUUUUAACACAAGUAAGACUAAAAUAGGGUGUAGGCCUAUUUAUGCAUGUGUUGUCCAUUGCUGCACAAAUGAGACGUGUAAAUGUGCCGGGCGCCGAAGGCUCCAAGAGCACAACAGCAGAAUGAAGAGAUGGUAAUGCCAAUAAGUCUUCACGUCAUGCAUAGUCCCCUCUUUUCUGAAAAACACAUUGUUCAGAAGGGGGAGGGCAGGACUUGGGUGGCAGAACCAGUGGUGGAAAGUACUGAAGUAAAAUACUUUAAAGUACUACUUAAGUCAUUUUUCGGGGUAUCUGUACUUUACUUGACUAUUUAUAUUUUUGACAACUUUUACUUUUACUUGACUACAUUCGUAAAGAAAAUAAUGUACUUUUUACUCAAUACAUUUUAUCUGACACCCGAAAGUACUAAUUCCAUUUUAAAUGCUUAGCAAGACAGCAAAAUGGUCAAAUUCACACACUUAUCAAGAGAACAUACCUUGUCAUCCAUACUGCCGCUGAUGUGGCGGACUCACUAAACAGAA
rnacentral:lncRNA from 13 species